rnacentral:tRNA from 1 species
GUUUCUGUGGCGCAAUAGGUUAGCGAGUUUGGCUGUUAACUGAAAGGUUGGUGGUUCAACCCCACCCAGGGACG